UAUUGCGCAAUGGGGGAAACCCUGACGCAGCAACGCCGCGUGGGUGAUGAAGGUCUUCGGAUUGUAAAGCCCUGUUUUCUGGGACGAUAAUGACGGUACCAGAGGAGGAAGCCACGGCUAACUACGUGCCAGCAGCCGCGGUAAUACGUAGGUGGCGAGCGUUGUCCGGAUUUACUGGGCGUAAAGGGUGCGUAGGCGGAUGUUUAAGUGGGAUGUGAAAUCCCCGGGCUUAACCUGGGGGCUGCAUUCCAAACUGGAUAUCUAGAGUGCAGGAGAGGAAAGCGGAAUUCCUAGUGUAGCGGUGAAAUGCGUAGAGAUUAGGAAGAACACCAGUGGCGAAGGCGGCUUUCUGGACUGUAACUGACGCUGAGGCACGAAAGCGUGGGUAGCAAACAGGAUUAGAUACCCUGGUAGUCCACGCCGUAAACGAUGGAUACUAGGUGUAGGGGGUAUCAACUCCCCCUGUGCCGCAGUUAACACAAUAAGUAUCCCGCCUGGGGAGUACGGUCGCAAGAUUAAAACUCAAAGGAAUUGACGGGGGCCCCGCACAAGA
rnacentral:rRNA from 1 species